AUGCCCCCCCGCUCAACCACGGGUGGGAGGGAGUUGUUGACAUCAUGAGUCAGGGGAUGGCAGGAUUCUUCUUUCUCUUCACAGAUGAGGGGGGAGGGAUGUCUCCAUUGUUCGUUCCCUAACUAUUAAAUGGAUCCGCAGCGCAUCUAAUCGAUUUCUGAACAUUUAAACAAUGAAAGGUGAGCUAUCGAGGGAACAAGCACUUAUCGACAUAGCUGACUAAAGGAACCUGAAUGUUGUGUGCAAUCGAAUUCCCAAAUUCGUAACAAUAUUUUUAUCUGUAAAUGAUGCAUAUUCCGAAGUUUAUUUUAGCCUCAAGCUUCUGCUAAAACAUGAAAUCAAUGGAAUGUCUAUUCUAAUCUAUAUAUUCUUAGCCCCAAUAAGUCAUUUCUGCAGCCUGCUGUAACUUCUGGUAGAUGUGGUCAUACAUACUGAUAUAUGGAGAGAGAAUAUUGUCUGGUGGCGUUGGUGUCCACAUCACCUCCCCUUCCCUGACCCUCUUUUUCUGCAGGUGGAUGAAGGAUCACGCGGAUUUUGCCAGUAACCGCGGAACUCAUACAUUGAAACCUUCUUUCGCCGUGUUAUGGAAUUGGGCUGUGGAGUGGGGAGCCUUCUUCUGGGAGCAUAUCAUGCAUUAUUUGGACCUGUUUCUCCAGGCUCUCUAUGUUCUCUUGCUGUCGCUGCAGGAAAAUAUUCUAUCCACAACUGUGAUCUCCAACCAACUGGACUCGUGUUGGAUUGCAAUCAAUGGAUCUUCACUCUGCAAGGCAGCCAGCUCGCUUGCUGAGUACGUGGUUUUUCUUUUUACUGAGCUGGGUGAUUGGGCUGUUGCAGUCUUCAGGUCGAUUUCUACCCUGGUACAAUUGGCAAUGUACCAGCCCUGGACCUCGUUCAAUUGCUACCUGCCAGUUUCUAUGCCUAAAAUUGCACGGGAGUGCUGGCAGAUGUUGCUGGUACCUGAAAAUGGAACCACCGGGCUGUGUGACACAGUGGGCCAUGCACGUGUUUGCUGUCUGCGGUUUAUCGCCGCAGUGGUUCAGGUGAUCCAAGAACAUCUCCACCUGUGGAUGAGUGUGAUUUCUGAAGUAGCUACAAAGCUCUUGGCUUUGAUUGUUGACAUUGUUCGAGACAACCCGAGGUUGGUGACGGUGGUGGAGUGCAUGGCUGGACUGACUCUCUGGCUCUGGCACCUUGUCAUGAACCUGCUCUUUGGCUUGUUAGAUGGACCCUCUUAUGUGUUGUCAACUUGAAGGACAGAUGGCGUAGCCAAGUUAAGAUGGAAGAACUCUGGUCUUGAAGAUCGCCAUGAAAUGUUCGUUGCCUUAUUAAGCAAGCCAUACCAAAUGCAGAGCAUAAUUGAUCACCCAGUGCUUCCAAUAAUUGACCUUUUUGAAGUUGUGAUGUGUCCUGAGCAACCAACAACGUUGUUGCUUGUUCAAAAGCAUGUCAUUUGCUGCGACCGAGUCCGCAAAAUGCAAUCGUUGUAUGCAUUGAUGGUCUUUGUGAGCUAAAAAGGUAAGAUUUACUACAGUUGAUAACAUUGAUAUUUCCUUUGUGUCCCAUCACUAUUGAACUUAUUUUGUGCUUCUCUCAAGGGCUUGUUUGUUGCACAGGCAUAGAUUUUUUUUACUGUAUUGAUUAGUUUAUUCUUUGAUUUCUGUGACUGAACUUCAAUAGACCUGUUUGAAUUAGUUCAAUGUAUAAAGCUGAGGAUAGGCAAUGCAUUGAUGGUCCAGGUACCAGGUAGAAGUAUUGAGAUCACACUUCCAAAGGCUGGAUUAUUCAAAACGCACCACACCCACCCCCUCAUCUGACCUCGGCAACCCCGUGUUGGAAUUUAGAUUUGAUCAUGAUUGUUACACUUAAAAGAAAAAUAAUAAACUUAUUUAAGCCUGCUUUGUAAUUGUCAUUUGCUGGUCAUAUGAUCAUCAUCUAUUAAUUGAAAUCAGCUGGUUUGGAAUAGGGUGUAAUACAUUUUAACUUGGGUACAUCUUUCUUCAAAUUGCUUUUAUCUUUAUAAUUAUUUUCUCAAUCUAAGUUGCAUAAUAGGAGUAAACAUAAACAUAAUUUUUUUGAACAUCCCAUAUGUAUUUGAUUUGGUUACAUUUGUCCCCUCUAAUUCAAGUGUGAUUGGUGAUAAUGUGAUUAAAUCAAACGAUAAGUGGAGCCUGAUUAUUAUCUGAGUCCAUCAACACUUGCAUGGAUGCUCUUCAUUGGACCAUGUCUCACUGCACAGCCCACAUACCAAGCAUCACUGGCACUGAAAUUCGUAAAUAAUCUUACUUGUAUGAGAGGUGGGCAGAACAUCUUUUUGGACUGACGGAAGCAACCGGCGUGUGGUGAAAAUCGCUCUUGGUUGAACAGCAUAGUAAGAAUGGAACACUGUCUGAUCUGGUUUUCAAACCCUUGAGACUGCCUUUCCAAGGUAGACGGAGGUAUACAAAACAUUUUCCAGGUCCGAUUGUACGAUUCUUUGGUGGCUUUAGAAAUUUGUAUUCAUACGAGAUAUGGCCAAAAGUAUGAGGAUACCCCAUCUAAUUUGUGGAUUCGGCUAUUUCAGCCACACCCAAUGCUGACAGGUGUAUAAAAUGAAGCACACAGCCAAGCAAUCUCCAAAGACAAACAUUGGCAGAAGAAUGGGAUGUAUUGAAGAGCUCAGUGACUUUCAACACGGCACCGUCACAGGAUGCCAUCAUUCCAAGUCAGGUCAGGUCAGGUAUGGGAGGAGAGAGGAUGAAUCCAACACGAUGAUCCAGGCAGGAGAGAGGCCGAGCCCGCGCGCGGUCCACCCUAUAUAUAGUGCGGGGCU
rnacentral:lncRNA from 1 species